GCAUAUCAAUAAGCGGAGGAAAAGAAACUAACAAGGAUUCCCCUAGUAACUGCGAGUGAAGAGGGAAAAGCUCAAAUUUAAAAUCUGGCAGUCUCUGAUUGUCCGAGUUGUAAUUUAGAGAAGUGUUACCCGCGUUGGACCGUGUACAAGUCUCCUGGAAAUGGAGCGUCAUAGAGGGUGAGAAUCCCGUCUUUGACACGGACUACCAAGGCUUUGUGGUGCGCUCUCGAAGAGUCGUGUUGUUUGGGAAUGCAGCACUAAAUGGGUGGUAAAUUCCAUCUAAAGCUAAAUAUUGGCGAGAGACCGAUAGCGAACAAGUACCGUGAGGGAAAGAUGAAAAGAACUUUGGAAAGAGAGUUAAACAGUACGUGAAAUUGCUGAAAGGGAAACGCUUGAAGUCAGUCGCGUUGGCUAGGGAUCAACCUUGCUUUUGUGGGGUGUACUUCCUAGUUAACGGGUCAACAUCAGUUUUGACUGCUGGAAAAAGGCUAGAGAAAUGUGACAACUCCGGUUGUGUUAUAGUCUCUGGUCAUAUACAGUGGUUGGGACUGAGGAACUCAGCACGCCGCAAGGCCGGGUUUUUAACCACGUUCGUGCUUAGGAUGUUGGCAUAAUGGCUUUAAGCGACCCGUCUUGAAACACGGACCAAGGAGUCUAACAUGCCUGCGAGUAUUUGGGUGGAAAACCCGAGUGCGUAAUGAAAGUGAAAGUUGAGAUCCCUGUCGUGGGGAGCAUCGACGCCCAUACCUGAGCUUCUGUGACGGAUAUGCGGUUGAGCAUGUAUGUUGGGACCCGAAAGAUGGUGAACUAUGCCUGAAUAGGGUGAAGCCAGAGGAAACUCUGGUGGAGGGCUCGUAGCGAUUCUGACGUGCAAAUCGAUCGUCGAAUUUGGGUAUAGGGGGCGAAAGACUAAUCGAACCAUCUAGUAGCUGGUUUCCUGCCGAAGUU
rnacentral:rRNA from 1 species